AGAGUUUGAUCAUGGCUCAGAUUGAACGCUGGCGGCAGGCCUAACACAUGCAAGUCGAGCGGUAGCACAGAGAGCUUGCUCUCGGGUGACGAGCGGCGGACGGGUGAGUAAUGUCUGGGAAACUGCCUGAUGGAGGGGGAUAACUACUGGAAACGGUAGCUAAUACCGCAUAACGUCGCAAGACCAAAGUGGGGGACCUUCGGGCCUCAUGCCAUCAGAUGUGCCCAGAUGGGAUUAGCUAGUAGGUGGGGUAACGGCUCACCUAGGCGACGAUCCCUAGCUGGUCUGAGAGGAUGACCAGCCACACUGGAACUGAGACACGGUCCAGACUCCUACGGGAGGCAGCAGUGGGGAAUAUUGCACAAUGGGCGCAAGCCUGAUGCAGCCAUGCCGCGUGUGUGAAGAAGGCCUUCGGGUUGUAAAGCACUUUCAGCGGGGAGGAAGGCGAUAAGGUUAAUAACCUUGUCGAUUGACGUUACCCGCAGAAGAAGCACCGGCUAACUCCGUGCCAGCAGCCGCGGUAAUACGGAGGGUGCAAGCGUUAAUCGGAAUUACUGGGCGUAAAGCGCACGCAGGCGGUCUGUCAAGUCGGAUGUGAAAUCCCCGGGCUCAACCUGGGAACUGCAUUCGAAACUGGCAGGCUAGAGUCUUGUAGAGGGGGGUAGAAUUCCAGGUGUAGCGGUGAAAUGCGUAGAGAUCUGGAGGAAUACCGGUGGCGAAGGCGGCCCCCUGGACAAAGACUGACGCUCAGGUGCGAAAGCGUGGGGAGCAAACAGGAUUAGAUACCCUGGUAGUCCACGCCGUAAACGAUGUCGAUUUGGAGGUUGUGCCCUUGAGGCGUGGCUUCCGGAGCUAACGCGUUAAAUCGACCGCCUGGGGAGUACGGCCGCAAGGUUAAAACUCAAAUGAAUUGACGGGGGCCCGCACAAGCGGUGGAGCAUGUGGUUUAAUUCGAUGCAACGCGAAGAACCUUACCUGGUCUUGACAUCCACAGAACUUAGCAGAGAUGCUUUGGUGCCUUCGGGAACUGUGAGACAGGUGCUGCAUGGCUGUCGUCAGCUCGUGUUGUGAAAUGUUGGGUUAAGUCCCGCAACGAGCGCAACCCUUAUCCUUUGUUGCCAGCGGUUCGGCCGGGAACUCAAAGGAGACUGCCAGUGAUAAACUGGAGGAAGGUGGGGAUGACGUCAAGUCAUCAUGGCCCUUACGACCAGGGCUACACACGUGCUACAAUGGCAUAUACAAAGAGAAGCGACCUCGCGAGAGCAAGCGGACCUCAUAAAGUAUGUCGUAGUCCGGAUUGGAGUCUGCAACUCGACUCCAUGAAGUCGGAAUCGCUAGUAAUCGUAGAUCAGAAUGCUACGGUGAAUACGUUCCCGGGCCUUGUACACACCGCCCGUCACACCAUGGGAGUGGGUUGCAAAAGAAGUAGGUAGCUUAACCUUCGGGAGGGCGCUUACCACUUUGUGAUUCAUGACUGGGGUGAAGUCGUAACAAGGUAACCGUAGGGGAACCUGCGGUUGGAUCACCU
rnacentral:rRNA from 5 species